GACGAACGCUGGCGGCGUGCUUAACACAUGCAAGUCGAGCGGUAAGGCUCCUUCGGGGAGUACACGAGCGGCGAACGGGUGAGUAACACGUGAGCAAUCUGCCCUUCUCAUCGGAAUAAGCGUUGGAAACGACGUCUAAUGCCGAAUACGACCUCCUUUCGCAUGAUCGGAGGUGGAAAGCUCCGGCGGAGAAGGAUGAGCUCGCGGCCUAUCAGCUAGUUGGUGGGGUAAUGGCCCACCAAGGCGACGACGGGUAGCCGGCCUGAGAGGGUGACCGGCCACACUGGGACUGAGACACGGCCCAGACUCCUACGGGAGGCAGCAGUGGGAAUAUUGGACAAUGGGCGAAAGCCUGAUCCAGCAACGCCGCGUGA
rnacentral:rRNA from 1 species